rfam:Camelus ferus unplaced genomic scaffold scaffold2378, whole genome shotgun sequence.
GAGGGUAUAGCUCAGUGGUACAGUGGGUGCUCAGCAUGCACGAGGUCCUGGGUUCAAUCCCCAGUACCUCCA